UGCGCGGCGGCUCUUUUAACGAGUGUAACAAAAACUCGUUAUAAAAGACCACUGUGCAAAU
rnacentral:pre_miRNA from 1 species